GAGACCCUUAAGAGCUGCACAAAUUGCUGUGGGGGCCUCAUGUAGCCUAUAAGUUGUGUGAAACCUACUCCAGAAGAUUGCAGAUGUCUGCUAACGGGCCAGAUUUUACCCCCAGCAGAGAACCUGGUAAUUUUAUAUGUGUGGGAAGCCAACCAGAUGCUUUACUGAAGUCAAAGUAUAUUACAUUCAUAGCAUUCCCAUGCCAGCUUUAUCUCCUUUGGUAAUCAAUACAUUAUUUUACAGGUACAGUGUUCAUGGACUGAUCACUUUAUAAUCAGUUCUGGAACUUUGUCUGCUGCUCAUCCACCCUGGAGCUUCCUGUCUGACCUUGUUUGCUACUUACUUGAAAAUCCUGAGUAAAAGAAAAAUAGCUUGCCAGGAACAGAGAGAAAAUAGAGAAUGAGUCACAAGAAUGAAUACUGAAUAGCAGCGGAAUCAAUAUGCAGUUCCAUGAUUCAGUAACGCAUUUCUGUGAUGAGUGGAUUUGCAGAGAGUGGGGAAUCUUUUUCCUAGACCCAUGCAUGGAAAUUGUUACUCCUUUUCAUUCAAGCUACUGAUCAUUGUCUUGCAUGAGACUGACUGGAGACGGAAUAAUGGAAAAAGAGAACAAAGACAUUCUGGAACACAUUUUUGUACACGUGAGAAUCUGCUUCAGCUUGACACAACUGAAAGCAGAGUUUGGUAGAACACAAAGUUACCAGGCAGGAAACUCUUGAGAUUGCCUUGUCCCUGUGAUCCUUCUUGAUAUUGCUGCACAAAGAUGCAUUGUUAUAAAAACUUCUCAGUCUUUAGUAUGAUUUAAUACUUCAUCUAGACAGCUGCAUAAGAUUAAUAAUACAUAUUCUGUGCUGUCAAGUUGAUUACAAUUUAUGGUGACCCUCCCAAGGUUUUCUCAGUAUAAAGUAAUCAGAAUGGUUUACUACUCCUUUCUUAAAUGGUGUUCUGCAACUGUGCAGCUUGCUCAAGGAGACAGGACACGUCACCCCAUCUCCCACACAUUGUAUGGGUGAUCUUGGCUAGUGCAUCCCUGUAGCCAUGCUGGAGAUUCAAACUUCCAGCUCCUGGAUCUACAACCCAGCACCCCAACCUAUUGCGCAACACCAGGGCAAAAUCCAGAUUAAACAAUACUAGAAAAGCUACAUGGUAAGUUGCUCUAGGUCUGAGGCAAGGCUCCAUUCAUGUGACUCACUGAGAACAUGUGGAACAGUGGAGAACAUCUGUACCUGGCUUUGCACUAUAUUUACUUUUCCUGAUAGUGGAAAUCUGGGCCACUUUGAUUGAAGGAUGUUUAAAUGAACAUGCUAUCAAAGCUGUAGCCUAGGAGCUAUGAUUUCAGAACUGGUGGAGUCUACUCAUUUCCCCCUAAAAAUAACAAUUUGAAGAGGCCUCAAGUGUAGCUCAUUAUUUUCAUAAUGUAGCUCAGGUCCUAGCAACAUUACCAACACUGAAAAAAAGUGUAUUAUUUCAUUUGUCUUCAUAUUUAAAUGAGAAGAUAAGGGCCAUCAUCAACAUAACAUGAGUUCCUCCCAUUUAAUUGUUUUGCUUAACUCUCCAGAAGUUUUAAGUUGGUUUGCAGGGGGGAAAGGUUUGAGAAUCACUGUGAAAUAUACAUCAGAUAUAUACAUAUAUAGGCCCAAACUAACUGUUAUCUUAAAUCAGUGACAGCAGGCUGGUAUAAAAAUUGU
rnacentral:lncRNA from 1 species